UACGUAGGCAGCGACGUUGUCGGAAUUAUCUGGCGUAAGGAGUGAUGUAGGCGGUGUCCUCAGUCUGUUGUGAAAUCUCCCGGUUAACUGGGAGGGUGCAGCGGAAACUAGAAUGCUAGAGGGUGGGAGAGGUAAGCGGAAUUCCUGGUGUAGCGGUGAAAUGCGUAGAUAUCAGGAGGAACACCUGUGGUGUAGACAGCUUACUGGACCACUUCUGACGCUGAGACACGAAAGCGUGGGUAGCAAACAGG
rnacentral:rRNA from 1 species